rnacentral:rRNA from 1 species
AUUGAACGCUGGCGGCAUGCUUUACACAUGCAAGUCGAACGGCAGCACGGGGGCAACCCUGGUGGCGAGUGGCGAACGGGUGAGUAAUACAUAGGAACGUAUCCUGAAAUGGGGGAUAGCUCGGCGAAAGCCGGAUUAAUACCGCAUACGAUCCACGGAUGAAAGCAGGGGAUUCGCAAGAACCUUGCGUUUCUGGAGCGGCCUAUGUCUGAUUAGCUAGUGGCGGGGUAAAGCCCACCAAGGCGACGAUCAGUAGCUGGUCUGAGAGGAUGAUCAGCCACACUGGGACUGAGACACGGCCCAGACUCCUACGGGAGGCAGCAGUGGGGAAUUUUGGACAAUGGGGGCAACCCUGAUCCAGCCAUGCCGCGUGAGUGAAGAAGGCC